AUGCAAGAAUGCCAAGCAUGUUUGAAAUGUGAAGACGGAAUGGUGGCCAUGCCUUGUUCCACUGUCAGUGACACGGUUUGUUCAGCAACCAGUGAAAGCAAGCUAUCAGAAUCUUGGGCUGCAAACAUCAUUUUACCAUCUGUGAAGUCUGGCAUCUCUCAGGUUUACUCUGGCUUGAACUUGAAGAUAAGGGAAAAGCUUCACUGUGACAUCCUGUCUAUUGAAGAUCAUGGCCUGAUAUUCAGGCAGCAUGGUCUGUUGUGGAUUGACCUAAAUUUUGCAGUAAAACACAACUGCAGGAAUUUUUUGCAACUUUCCUUAAAGCUAAAUGGCAGUGAGGAAGGCUAUGAACUUAGUGGUGUUCGCAUUGAACAGCCAGAAGGAAAAUAUUUCCAGAGCACCAGUUUAAGCAGCGCUGCUGAGGUGGAGCCCAGCCAAACUCUUUCCGUGUUUUUGAGGAGCCCAAACCAAUUCUGCAAUCAAAGUAAAGACUUACAUAUUUACGAUCUUAAUAGCCCACUAAGUCUGUUCUGGUUGUCUCAUGACACGGGUGCUGUGGCAAUCAGUGCACACAUGUCAACAGCAAUGCAUUACCAAACCAACUAUCGACCUACAUUUAAAAUAGUUUCUGUUUCCGACCCUUACAUGCUAAGUUUAUCUCACGAUGGCAGAGCUAUAAAAUUCACUGAAACAGGUGUUGUCAAAUUUGUGUUGCACCAAGCGUUGUAUUCUAUGGGUCACACUUGUGUCCGGGAGGGUUUCUCCUUAAUUUCUUAUAUAAAUAGGAAUGGUACCAACAGAGAAUUAAUGAAUGUAUUUAAAUCUGGGGUAAAUUACAGAGAUACAUCAAUAUCUGCUUCUGGGGCCACAAAAGUUGCUGCUGGAGAUCUGAUUAGCUUUGAGAUACUCUCUCCUGCACAGUGUAAUGUUCGGUAUUUUGGAGAUAGCUCUGGGAUUAGUAUGUUUAGCCUUAUCUGGAUACCUUCAGCAGUUUCUAGUGCCAUAUCAGCCACAGUUUCUGUUACAGGCCUACCUACUGGUGCUGUGAGAAACAAAUUCCUGGAUUUCACCCAAACCUCAUCCAAUGAAAAGCAGAUACAGCUGGUUUCUUCUGGACAGCUUGCUCAGAAGUACUUCAUUUUUACAGAAAAGGGAGUUGCCAGUCUUGCAUUUAACUUAAAGCUAAUCCAUUCGUGCAGUGUGCUUAAAGUGACUCUCCAACAGUUGACCAUGGAUCACAUGCAACCCACCAUAAUUGCUCAGCAGAUUGGAGGGCAGAUGCCAGAGGGAAGCAUAUGGACCAGUGUGACCCUCCGUGCAUCUUUUGAAGUACACAAUGGAACGCUGAUAUCAGUUUCUCUUGACUGUGUACGUGGAAGGAUCAAUCAGAUCACUCAUGAACAUGGAACCAGUAUAUCUAUUUUAUGGAUUUCAUCUUAA
rnacentral:lncRNA from 1 species